UUAUGGACCUCAUGUAGGACAAGUUGAACUUUUUAGUGAUGUUCAGCCAUUUGUUCAGUCAGCAUUUGAUGGAUACAAUGUGGCUAUAUUUGCUUAUGGGCAAGAACACUCAGGAAAGACCCACACAAUGGAAGGAUCCAACCAUGAUCGUGGUUUAUAUGCUAGGUGUUUUGAGGAGCUCUUUGAUCUAUCCAACUCCGAUGCAACGUCGACAUCCAAAUUUAAUUUCUCAGUUUCCAUUUCUGAACUUCAUAAUGAACAGAUACGAGAUCUGCUCAUACAUUCUGGAACUGAUCUGCCGAAGGCUCGCAUAGGGUCAUUGGAUUGCUUUGUAGAACUGCUGCAGGAAAGGGUUGAAAAUCCAAUGGAUUUUGGCCAAGUUCUCAAACUUGCUUUUCAGAAUCGAGGAAGUGAUGUGUCAAAGUUUAGAGUUUCUCAUCUGAUCGUCACAGUACAUAUACAUUAUACCAACUCAAUCACUGGAGAGACCUCAUACAGCAAGCUUUCUCUUGUUGAUUUGGCUGGAAGUGAAAGCAGUAUUGAAGAGGAUAGUGGGGAGCAUGCAACAGAGUUGCUUCAUGUCAUGAAAUCUCUUUCUGCAUUGGGAGAUGUUUUGAAUUCCUUGACAUCAAAAAAAGACAUUGUUCCAUAUGGAAAUUCAGUUCUCACCAAAAUACUUGCAGACUCACUAGGUGAAAGUGCAAAGACGCUUCUGAUUGUUAAUGUCUGUCCGAAUGCUUCAAAUUUGUCUGAGACGUUAUCUUCCCUCAAUUUUUCUGCUAGAGCUAGAAAUGCCACACUAAGCCUUGGGAAUAGAGAUACAAUCAAGAAAUGGAGAGAUAUUGCCAAUGAUACACGCAAGGAACUUUAUGACAAGGAGAAUGAGAUUACUGAUCUGAAACAAGAAAUAGUUGGGCUAAAACAGGAACUGAAACAGGCCAACGAUCAGGGAGUUCUACUCUUCAAUGAAGUUCAGAAUGCCCAGAAAGUUUCUUCUACACUAGAGUCAGAUCUUAAGGCUGAGAAUAUCAUGAUUAUGGAUAAAUUUAAGAUUGAGAAGGAUCAAAAUACUCAACUUAGAAACCAAGUAGCUCAACUUUUACAGUUGGAGCAAGAACAAAAAUUGCAGAUACAACAGCGUGAUUCAACUAUUCAGAUGUUACAGGCCAAACUGCAAGCUCUUGAAUCACAGUUAAAUAAUGUGGUACGUGCUAGUGAGGCUAGGUUAAAAGAUGGGUCGGAGUUAAUAUCUGCAGACCAAACAGGUUUGAAGGCAACGAGGAAUGACAUUGAGUCAGCAGCUGUUACCAAGAGGCUUGAAGAGGAACUUUUAAAACGUGACACACUUAUUGAGAAAUUGCAUGAAGAAAAUGAGAAGUUAUUUGAUCGUUUGACAGAGAAAGCCUCUCUAGCUGGAUCAACACAGGUGUCUAGUCCGUUACCAAAGGCUCCAACUGCUCAGAAUAGAGAAACUGGAAGAAAUGACAUCAAUGUCAAAGGACGUGCUAUGGAUGUGCUAG
rnacentral:misc_RNA from 1 species